rnacentral:rRNA from 1 species
CACGUAGGGGACGAGCGUUGUCCGGAUUCAUUGGGCGUAAAGCGUGCGCAGGCGGCUUUGCAAGACAGAUGUGAAAUCCCCGGGCUCAACCUGGGAACUGCAUUUGUGACUGCAAGGCUAGAGUACGGUAGAGGGGGAUGGAAUUCCGCGUGUAGCAGUGAAAUGCGUAGAUAUGCGGAGGAACACCGAUGGCGAAGGCAAUCCCCUGGACCUGUACUGACGCUCAUGCACGAAAGCGUGGGGAGCAAACAGG